GACAGCUGUACAUAAUUAGCCAUUCAGGUAAGAAGGGUCUGGGAUUCCUUUAUGAGGUGCAACCAAAACAGCUGUUAGACAUUGCAACAGGGAUAUUCUGGUAGGGUGUCUGUGUAGCAUUAGUUCUGAAUACGGUUGUGGUUUUGAUCACUAAAAUGGCUGUGACUUUUGGACUCUCUUUGAGUGUUUCUUGGAUUUGUUGCCUGCUAAUUGGAGGG
rnacentral:lncRNA from 1 species